AGAAGCACCACACCAGUAGCCUCUCACAACACUGGUGACCCCGACCGCUGAUCUGGUUUCCACUUUUGGCUCCCAAACAUAGCAAAGCAUCAUGAAAGUAUACCCUCAAAUACCCUCAAAGUACUGCAUUUAAAAUUUAUUUUAGUGUAAUUUUAUAGUUAGUUUAAUUUUGUAUGCUUUUCUUUUGUUAUGUUAUGUUAAUGGGAAGCAGUGGUUGUUAAAGUUGUGCUUCUAAACUGUUAACAAAAGUAAAAUUAGUAUCACAAGCAAAUUAACUCUAAAAAGCUUGGUAAAAA